UGUCGUGGGUUCCCUGCUGCGAGGUGUUGUCGUGGUUUUUACAGUGGUGGUUCGUGGCCGUAUAGUCGUGGUCGUGGGAUUAAAAUGCCGGCCAUUAGGACGCCAACCCCUGGGCUUAUACCCUGAUAAAUCUGAUGUCACCGCUAGUCCGAUAUAAAGGAGGACGAGGAUGAGCUGGAAAAAAGUACAGAGAAUCAAUUUAAUUUAAAUAAAGAGAGGCGCAUGUGACAUGCGCUCGAAUGUCCGAA